UGUGGUGCCAUAGUUUGUUGAGGGGUGGUGGUGAGGGAAUUUGAAGAGUUUGGGAGCCAGGCCAACUGACUUUGCUGAAGCGGAUAUCACAUAAAGUUCCCUCUCAACUCACCACAUGAAAUGCAGCACUGACCAGGAGAGAGCCCAGAAAGUGAAAGAUGAGACAGUUUGAUUGAGGGAGAUAGGUGGCUGCGUUACCCUGAGAAAGAGUGGGAUGUGUGGAACGCUGCAAUAUACAGCCAAGGGAAAGAAUCCCCACGCUGAGCUUAAACACUGGAGAGCUGAGACAAGUUCUCUUGGCACACAAGAGCUCGGGUCAUGGAUUUUUCCCAUUCAGCCGGAAAGCAAAAUAGUGCUGGUGUGUAUCUAA
rnacentral:lncRNA from 1 species